UUAAACGUUUUUAUUUUGUAUAUUCAAAUCUAGUUUCAAUAUUAUUAAAUUAUGACAAUCGUUUUACUAAAACCUGAAAUAAUAAAAAGUUAUGUGUACAACAGCAAAAUAUGAAUAGAAAGUAGUACUGUAUGUCUAAAUAAAAUACGACAAGUAUAAUGUUCAAAACGUAUGAAGUCUUAUGUUAAAAAGUCAUUGCAACACCGUGGAUAUCAUAAUAUUAUUAAUUGCAGUUGGUUGGUUAGAAGCAUACAACACGUAAGACACUAAUCAAGAUAAUGGUUUGUAAUAAUACACUCUGUUUAAACGUUAAACAGAAACGAUAUUACAGAUGAUGUUCGCAUAGAAAUUAUAAUUCACAGAUAACAAAAUAAAGUUAUAUUGAAAAACGGAGUAUUGUUGUAAAUACGUGAUGUUUGCCAACGUUUAACUUAUAAAUGAUAUAGUAUUAAAUCAUAUCUAUUACGUAAGAAAGUUACCAUAACUGUACGAAAUGAAUUAGUUUCAUUCGUGGAGUAGUGGCGUCAAAAAGAUCAAACCAUAAAAAUUGGUAUGUAAUAAAUUGAUACACGUGAGAGCUCAAGCACAUAUUACAAAGGUACAUAAUAUUAUAUAAUAUGCAUGAAUUUCUACUACAGAACCUCUUUUUAUAGACCUUACCGUAUACAUGGUUCUAUAUAGCUGCUGUUUUGUUUUUCCUCAAAAAAGACAACACGGAGACCAUUUUAUAUGAUUUUCAAAAAAAAAAAAAAAUAAUAAUAACAAAUAUAUUUAUUAUAUUAUGCGUGUAUAAUGUGUAUAUUGUAUAAUAUUAUUUUGAAACAAAGCUUUAAAGCUCUCGUAAACCCAAUGAAAAAUAAAGGAUCCCAAAAUUACGGGCGAAAGAAA